rnacentral:pre_miRNA from 1 species
UCUUAUGGAUGAGCAAGGAAAUUGGUUUCUUGAGAUGGAAUCUAGUCCUGAUGAAGAUGCUGUGUA